rnacentral:misc_RNA from 1 species
GUAAUUAUUGGAGGUUCAUGGAGCUUUUGCGUUUUUGGCUAAACCAAUGCCCUACCACUUAAAAUUUACUCUUUUUCUAAAGAAGACAUUUUCUGUACCAUCAUGGCAUCAUCUAAAUAUGCCCAAUUCUUUUUCUCCACUCAAGUAUUCUGGUUGAAGAUUCUAAUUACAACGUCCGUGAUAAGCAUUGGAAUGUCUGGGUCCAUAAUCCAA